CCUACGGGAGGCAGCAGUGGGGAAUUUUGGACAAUGGGCGCAAGCCUGAUCCAGCAAUGCCGCGUGAGUGAAGAAGGCCUUCGGGUUGUAAAGCUCUUUUGUCAGGGAAGAAACGGUGAGUUCUAAUACAGCUUGCUAAUGACGGUACCUGAAGAAUAAGCGCCGGCUAACUACGUGCCAGCAGCCGCGGUAAUACGUAGGGUGCAAGCGUUAAUCGGAAUUACUGGGCGUAAAGCGUGCGCAGGCGGUUUUGUAAGUUUGUCGUGAAAUCCCCGGGCUCAACCUGGGAAUGGCGAUGAAGACUGCAAGGCUAGAGUUUGGCAGAGGGGGGUAGAAUUCCACGUGUAGCAGUGAAAUGCGUAGAUAUGUGGAGGAACACCGAUGGCGAAGGCAGCCCCCUGGGUCAAAACUGACGCUCAUGCACGAAACGCGUGGGGAGCAAACAGGAUUAGAUACCCUGGUAGUCAAACGCCCUAAACGAUGUCUACUAGUUGUCGGGUCUUAAUUGACUUGGUAACGCAGCUAACGCGUGAAGUAGACCGCCUGGGGAUACGGUCGCAAGNUUAAAACUCAAAGGAAUUGACGG
rnacentral:rRNA from 1 species